UGGGGAGUAUUGGACAAUGGGGGCAACCCUGAUCCAGCAAUGCCGCGUGGGUGAUGAAGGCCUUCGGGUUGUAAAGCCCUUUCGGCGGGGACGAUGAUGACGGUACCCGCAGAAGAAGCCCCGGCUAACUUCGUGCCAGCAGCCGCGGUAAUACGAAGGGGGCUAGCGUUGUUCGGAAUGACUGGGCGUAAAGGGCGCGUAGGCGGCGAUUUUAGUCAGGCGUGAAAGCCCUGGGCUCAACCUAGGAACUGCGUUUGAUACUGGAUCGCUUGAGUGUGGGAGAGGAUGGUGGAAUUCCCAGUGUAGAGGUGAAAUUCGUAGAUAUUGGGAAGAACACCGGUGGCGAAGGCGGCCAUCUGGACCACUACUGACGCUGAGGCGCGAAAGCGUGGGGAGCAAA
rnacentral:rRNA from 1 species